rnacentral:rRNA from 1 species
UUUCUGUUGCGGUGACGUCGGCCGGCUCUUCGGAGUUGUAGCUAGAUUUCAUUGCAGCAUCUUGUCGUAAUCACCACUGGCAUUAAUUUGUUGGUGUGUGGGACCGACUCGUUUACUUUGAGAAAAUCAGAAUGUUCAAAGUGGGCUAUCGCCUUGAAUGUAUUAGCAUGGAAUAAUGAUAUAGGACUUUUGGUUCUAUUUUGUUGGCGUUCGAGAACCAAAGUAAUGAUUGAUAGGGACGGUUGGGGGCGUCAGUAUUCUGUAGCGAGAGGUGAAAUUCUUGGACCUACGGAAGACUAACAGCUGCGAAAGCGUUCGCCUAGGACGUUCUCUUUAAUCAAGAACGAAGGUUGGGGGAUCGAAGAC